rnacentral:tRNA from 1 species
GGAGAGGUGCCAGAGUGGACGAAUGGGGCGGUCUCGAAAACCGUUGUAGUCGCAAGGCUACCGUGAGUUCGAAUCUCACCCUCUCCGCCA